CCCUUAGAUGUUCUGGGCCGCACGCGCGCUACAAUGAUGAAUUCAACGAGUUUAUAACCUUGGUUGAAAAGCCUGGGUAAUCUUUUGAACUUUCGUCGUGAUGGGGCUAGACCCUUGCAAUUAUUGGUCUCCAACGAGGAAUUCCUAGUAAACGCAAGUCAUCAGCUUGCAUUGAUUACGUCCCUGCCCUUUGUACACACCGCCCGUCGCACCUACCGAUUGAAUGGUCCGGUGAACAAUUUGGACUGCUUUGAUUCGAUUAGAAUUUGAAGCGGAAAGUUUAGUGAACCUUAUCACUUAGAGGAAGGAGAAGUCGUAACA
rnacentral:rRNA from 1 species